AAAUCAUUUUCCCUCCUAAGUCUAGGCGAUAAAAAAGGAAAUUCGGAGCAAUAGAAAAAGUACCGCAAGGGAAAGCUGAAAAAGAGAUGAAACAGCCCAGUAAAGCUAAAUAAAGCAGAGACUAAAACUCGUACCUUUUGCAUCAUGAUUUAGCUAGAACUAGCAAGCAGAGAGAACCUAAAGUUUGCAACCCCGAAACUGAGGGAGCUACUCCAAGACAGCCUAUCUUGUAGGGCAAACCCGUCUCUGUGGCAAAAGAGUGGGAAGAGCUUUGAGUAGAGGUGAUAAACCUACCGAACUCAGUGAUAGCUGGUUGCCCGUGAAUUGGAUUAAAGUUCAGCCCCCUUACAUUUCCCCAACCAUGUUGGCAAGGCAUGCUCUUUGUCACACCCCUAGACGAAGUGAGAAACCCGGGUGGUUAGUCAAAGGGGGUACAGCCCCUUUGAAACAAGACACAACUUUUAUAGCAGAAUAAAGAUCAUAUUUAACCAAGGACAAAUGUUCUAGUGGGCCUAAAAGCAGCCACCUUAGCAAAAAGCGUUAAAGCUUAAACAUGCAUAUUUCCACCAAUACCGAUACCUUAUCUCAAUCCGCUUAAUACCUAACGAGCCGUUCCAUGCCUACAUGGAAGCGACCAUGCUAAUAUGAGUAAUAAGAGAAUCUAGUAUUCUCUCCUUGCACGUGUGUAAUUCGGAUCGGACAACCCACCGAAAAAUUAACGGCCCCAACCAAAGAGGGCAUUGGAAAAUUCACCGACCUACCAGAAAAACAUCCAACUUAACCCGUUACCCCUACACAGGUGUGCACCACAGGAAAGACUCAAAGGGGGAAAAGGAACUCGGCAAACGUACCCUAAGCCUCGCCUGUUUACCAAAAACAUCGCCUCUUGCAACUUGUAAUAUAAGAGGUCCUGCCUGCCCCCUGACGUAAUGUUCAACGGCCGCGGUAUUUUAACCGUGCUAAGGUAGCGUAAUCACUUGUCUUUUAAAUAAAGACCCGUAUGAAUGGCUAGACGAGGGCUUAACUGUCUCCUCCCCCAGGUCAGUGAACUUGAUCUCUCCGUGCAGAAGCGGGGAUAUUAGCAUAAGACGAGAAGACCCUGUGGAGCUUUAGAUAUAAAAUUGACCCAUGUUAACUAAGACCCUCUACCAGGUUACAAGCUCAGUGGACCCUCGUUUAAUGUCUUCGGUUGGGGCGACCAUGAGGAACACAAAACCCUCACGUGGAAACAGGAACAGUAAAGCAAUUUUACAACCACUCCUUCAAAUCAGAGCGACAGUUCCAAUUAGCAGAUAAUUCUGACCAAAUAGAUCCGGCGUAUGCCGAUCGGCGAAUCAAGUUACCCCAGGGAUAACAGCGCAAU
rnacentral:rRNA from 1 species